UAUAAGGGGUUUUGAGUUUUUGUUUUCAACGUUUGACCACUCGUCUUAUUUAAAUUUUUUUGAAAUUAUUAUUUAUUUUAUUUGUGACUUACUUUAUUAUCUAUAGUACUUAAAGCAUAACUUUUCAUUUUUACAUUUACAAAAAAAAAUUUGAAUAAGACGAGUGGUCAAACGUUUCAAGCAAAAACUUAAAAAUCCUUAUACU
rnacentral:pre_miRNA from 1 species